ensembl:lncRNA
GACGCCACCUGCUGGAGGGAGAUAUAUUCUCCGCCGUGUUGGGCCUCUCUCUCUCUCUCUCUCUCUCUCUCUCUCUCCGUCUCCGUCUCCGUCUCCGUCUCCGGUAAUAUCUCUGUGGCCGUCUGACGCAGUUCAGACAUUUUGGGUAGAUUAUUCAACCACACCGGGCCGAAGACUAACAAGAAACUGAACAAAAGCCGUUUUUUACAACCACAACAACAAACAUCGUUCAAUAUGGGUCCACCAGGAGACAACCCACGUCGCGUGUCCUCUGAAAGAACGGAGGAUUUCAGUUGGUUUGUCCAUUUAUCUUGACAUGGCAUGCAAAGGGUUAGUUUUGGUGGUUGUGACGACUGAAGAGAAAACGCAGAUAAAUAGCUAACACCUCCCCACAAAAAUCAGCGUGUGAAAGAUAUUUAUGACUGCGUUUAUUGGUGUCGGGUAAAUAAAAUCAAGUUGGUUCUCUCGACGGGAAUCCUUAACAUCAUGAUGAUAUUGGAAGGAAAUGUUCAUGUAAAAUGACAGGAUACAACCGUUAAAUCUGUUCCGAUAUUAAAUAGCAAACCAGUUGGAAAUGUAAAAUGGUUAGAUGUCUCUCAGCUGGCUGGCUAACCGCACCACAUACAUGCCUCAAUUACUCCAAGUAACAAACAUAUGUAGCUAACUAGUUAAUCCACUAACUAGUUAGUGUAUGCAGACUAGAUAGCUCAUGUUAGCUAGUCAGCCCCCCAAAAAAUGCUGUCAUGAUGAGUAAAGACAAAGGCAGUAAACAAGGCCCCGGGCCAGUUCAAUGGCAGUAAACAAGGCCCCGGGCCAGUUCAAUGGCAGUAAACAAGGCCCCGGGCCAGUUCAAUGGCAGUAAACAAGGCCCCGGGCCAGUUCAAUGGCAGUAAACAAGGCCCCGGGCCAGUUCAAUGGCAGUAAACGAGGCCCCGGGCCAGUUCAAUGGCAGUAAACGAGGCCCCGGGCCAGUUCAAUGGAAGUAAACGAGGCCCCGGGCCAGUUCAAUGGCAGUAAACGAGGCCC